rnacentral:rRNA from 1 species
AUUGAACGCUGGCGGAAUGCUUUACACAUGCAAGUCGAACGGCAGCACGGGGCAACCUGGUGGCGAGUGGCGAACGGGCGAGUAAUACAUCGGAACGUGCCUAAUCGUGGGGGAUAACGUAGCGAAAGUUACGCUAAUACCGCAUACGAUCUACGGAUGAAAGCGGGGGAUCGCAAGACCUCGCGCGAAUGGAGCGGCCGAUGUCAGAUUAGGUAGUUGGUGAGGUAAAGGCUCACCAGGGCGACGAUCCGUAGCGGGUCUGAGAGGAUGAUCCGCCACACUGGAACUGAGACACGGUCCAGACUCCUACGGGAGGCAGCAGUGGGGAAUUUUGGACAAUGGGGGCAACCCUGAUCCAGCCAUGCCGCGUGAGUGAAGAAGGCCUUCGGGUUGUAAAGCUCUUUCGGCCGGGAAGAAAUCGCACGGGCUAAUACCCUGUGUGGAUGACGGUACCGGAAUAAGAAGCACCGGCUAACUACGUGCCAGCCGCCGCCGUAACAC